rnacentral:rRNA from 1 species
AGCAGCCGCAGUAAUUCCAGCUCCAAUAGCGUAUAUUAAAGUUGUUGCAGUUAAAAAGCUCGUAGUUGAAUUUCGGGAUCAAUACGUCGGUCGUGCUUCGGUACGUACUGGCGUAAUUGAUUUCUCCCUUCUGACGAACCAUGAUGUCAUUAACUUGGUGUCAUGGGAAAUCAGGACUGUUACUUUGAAAAAAUUAGAGUGUUUAAAGCAAGCUAACGCUUGAAUACAUUAGCAUGGAAUAAUGAAAUAGGACGUUCGAUCCUAUUUUGUUGGUUUCUAGGAUUGACGUAAUGAUUAAUAGGGAUAGUUGGGGGCAUUAGUAUUCAAUUGUCAGAGGUGAAAUUCUUGGAUUUAUUGAAGACUAACUACUGCGAAAGCAUUUGCCAAGGAUGUUUUCAUUAAUCAAGAACGAAAGUUAGGGGAUCGAAGACGAUCAGAUACCGUCGUAGUCUUAACCAUAAACUAUGCCGACUAGGGAUCGGAUGAUGUUAAUUUUUUCAAUGACUCAUUCGGCGCCUUA